rnacentral:lncRNA from 1 species
AACUCCUGGCCUCAAGCCGUCUUCCUCAGCCUCCCACGUUGCUGGGAUGAAGAUGUGAGCACCACACCUGGCCCCAAACUCUGCUUUCAUAGAUUUCACCUGAUUGGACCAGACCAACCUGGGUCAUCUUUGUUUUUUUGUUUUGUUUUGUUGAGACAGAGUCUCACUCCCCGUCUCAAAAAAAAAAAAUUAGCUGGGCAUGGUGGCGCAUGCCUGUAAUCCCAGCUACUCAAGAGGCUGAGGCAGAAGACUCUCUUGAACCCAGAUGCAGAGGUUACAGUAAGCCAAGAUCACACCACUGCACUCCAGCCUGGGCAGCAGAGCUAGACACCGUCUCAAAAAAAAAAAAACAGGGGUAGAUCCUGGGUCUUCCACUAACUCAUAAAACCUCUCUUCCGGUACCAGCAGCAUAAGCCAGUCUUACCUGCAAAACAAGG